rnacentral:rRNA from 1 species
UUUUUUAUGGAGAGUUUGAUCCUGGCUCAGGAUGAACGCUGGCGGCGUGCCUAAUACAUGCAAGUCGAGCGAACAGAUAAGGAGC